rnacentral:rRNA from 1 species
GGCUCUCUGGGAGAAAGUGGUAGAGAGUCGGACCUGCCCGGUGAAGUUUUAACGGCCGCGGUACUCUGACCGUGCAAAGGUAGCAUAAUCAUUUGCCUUAUAAUUGAAGGCUUGUAUGAAUGGUUUGACGAGAAUACGACUGUCUCUUUAUAAGUUUAUAGAAUUUUAUAUUGAAGUGAGGAAGCUUGAGUCUUAUUGAUAGACAAGAAGACCCUAUCGAGCUUAAGAAAAUGUUAUAAAAGCAAGGUAUACAGUUAAAAGUUAGUUUGUAGUUAACUUUGGUUGGGGCGACUUAGGAACAGUAAAAGCUUCCUAAAUUUAUAAAGUCUACGUAAGUGAUCCAAAAAGUUUUGAUUAAAGGAAUUAGUUACCGUAGGGAUAACAGCAUUAUCUUUUUUAAGAGUUCAUAUCGAAAAAAAGGUUUGUGACCUCGAUGUUGGACCAGAAUAUCCUAAAGAUGUAGCAGUCUUUAAGGGUUGGUCUGUUCGACCGUUAAAAUUCUACG